GACUAUGGAUCAGUCAGAAAGGGUCUACUGGUGUGCCAUAAACAUAAUUUGCAGGUGACAUUAAGAGACAUUUAUAAAUAAGCCUGUGAUGUAUAAUUGUCGACGAGCCAGAAAAAACACAUUACCUUUCUUGAUGAUGACCAAGUUGAGCACGCUGAGAUUGGCGUCAACGAUGCAACCACGGACAGACUUGCGUUUGCGCUCACCAGUCCUGCGGGGACGGUAGCAGGAGUGGCCCUUGCUGAGCAGCAGGCGCACACGGCCGUGGGUCAGCACCCCCUGCUUCAUGGGGAAGCCCUGUUUGUCGUUGCCUCCGCUGA